rnacentral:ncRNA from 1 species
UUUAAUCAGCUUAAAGAAAAAAAAUAAUGUUUCCAUUUUUUUUUAUCACUGAUACACGUCCCUCUCGAAGAUAACGAAAAAGAAGGCUUGAGAUAAUUUGGGGGUGCAUUUACUUAUCAUUUAUAUACUUAGGUUGAUCGGCCCUUUAUUUAUGUUAAGUCUCCAGGCAGUAACAACAAAAUUUUUAUUAAUAUCUUCAAUAAAUUUGACUGCACGAAGUUAACAUAAUGGCUUCAGAUCGACAGUGGAGGAGGAUACUCGAAAACACGCCAUCUGGAAAGUCUGACGAACGUGUUUUUUUUGUUCGCUGUCUGGGCGAGCCCCGGGAAAAGUUUUCUCUGUAAGGAGAUCGAGUCCCUGGAAUGGGUUCGCCCCGAGAUAGGGAUGGUGGCUCCGUAGAGCAGUGCGGCUCUUGCGCUGUCCGGUGCGCUAGCGUCGGCCCUUGAAAAUCCGAGUGAGGGAGUGUGAUUUUCGUGCCGGACCGUACCCACAUCCGCAGCAGGUCUCCAAGGUGAACAGCCUCCAGUCGAUGGACCAAUGUAGGUAAGGGAAGUCGGCAAAACGGAUCCGUAACCUUGGGAUAAGGAUUGGCUCUGAGGACUGAGCCGGUCGGGCUGGGGACCUGAAGCAGGAACGGCACUGCACCGGGACUGGGCGGGGCUCGCCGUUCACGCGGCGCGGCCAAGCCCGCACCAGCGUCGGGACCUUCCUGUGUAAGGUCCCGGCGCUGAACUGCUAGGCAAGCAGUGUUGCUUGCCUAGCAGCAAUUGAACACAAACCGAACGUUUAUCAGAAAAGAGAAAAACACCACAAAAGUCGAAAGCCCACACAUCUUCAUGAAGGCAUUUAUCAUUAUUUCAUAGCGUUCGCUCCUU